rnacentral:rRNA from 1 species
GACGAACGCUGGCGGCGUGCCUAAUACAUGCAAGUAGAACGCUGAAGGAGGAGCUUGCUCUUCUGGAUGAGUUGCGAACGGGUGAGUAACGCGUAGGUAACCUGCCUGGUAGCGGGGGAUAACUAUUGGAAACGAUAGCUAAUACCGCAUAACAGUAGAUGUUGCAUGACAUUUACUUAAAAGGUGCAAUUGCAUCGCUACCAGAUGGACCUGCGUUGUAUUAGCUAGUUGGUGGGGUAACGGCUCACCAAGGCGACGAUACAUAGCCGACCUGAGAGGGUGAUCGGCCACACUGGGACUGAGACACGGCCCAGACUCCUACGGGAGGCAGCAGUAGGGAAUCUUCGGCAAUGGACGGAAGUCUGACCGAGCAACGCCGCGUGAGUGAAGAAGGUUUUCGGAUCGUAAAGCUCUGUUGUAAGAGAAGAACGAGUGUGAGAGUGGAAAGUUCACACUGUGACGGUAUCUUACCAGAAAGGGACGGCUAACUACGUG